rnacentral:rRNA from 1 species
GUCUACAGCUAUGCCACCCUGAACAAGCCCGAUCCCGUCUGAUCUCCGAACCUAAGCAGGGUUGGGCCUGGUUAGUGUUUGGAUGGGAGACCACCUAGGAAGACCAGAUGCUGUAGGCA